ensembl:lncRNA
GUGAGCAGGAGAGAGAGGCUGUAUUUUUUUUGUUGUUGUUUUUCAGUUGUCCUUGAUGCUGCGAUGUAUCCUACAAUUGUUUAAAUGGAACGCAUUUUGAAAAUCUCGUUUCUUCAUACCAGUCUGAAACACUGGGGUAUACCUGAAAGGGGGAACAGGCAGACAUGAAGAAGAGAACAACCCUGGCGUCCGGGUGCUGAUUGCCUUUUUUAUUCGCUUGAAAAGCCUCUCAGUGGAUUGAUUUAUGAUUUGGAUACCACUUCUCCAGCUCGGGACUCUGAAGUCUGUGCUUGUCAUGCACUUCAGACAGUCAGCAGC